rnacentral:lncRNA from 10 species
AGAGAUGAAGUCUGGCUAUGUUGCCCAGGCUAGUCUCAAACUCCUGGGGUCAAGUGAUCCUCCUGCCUUGGCCUUCCAAAGCUCUGGGAUGACAGACAUGAGUCAGUGUGUCCAGUUGUCAAUUAUUUUAAAAUAUACAAUGGCUGGGCGCAGCAGCUCAUGCCUGUAAUCCCAGCACUUUGAGAGGCCAAGGUGGGUGGAUUGCCUGAGGUCGGGAGUUCGAGACCAGCCUGGCCAACAUGGAGAAACCCCACCUCUGCUAAAACUACCAAAAAAAAAAAAAAAAAAACAAAACUAGCUGGGCAUGGUGGUGCAAGCCUGU